CCACUUAUGGUGAGUUUAGCUUUCUCUACUAGAUUCCAAACGUGCGAUUAACACAAUUAUUACCAAUGCCCUCCUGCAAAAAGCACACUAUUAUACUUCGCUUAGUUCUCCGCUCUCCCUUAUCAAUGGCGUGACUGCUUUAACAGUUUCAAAGAUCUCUGCUCCUCGUUUUCUCUCACUUUCCUCUCUUUCUCUCUCUCUAAAAUUCUUAACAUUGUUCCCAUAUUUGGUUCUAUAUAUAGAUUUUCAGUGUUGUAGGCUAGUGAUUGGUUUUUGAGAUUUUUUGGGUGGGAUUGAUUGACACAGCUAUGAGGAAGCUUAUGGGUUUAUGGGUUCUAUUUGUUGUUGGGUUUGUUAGCAAAUGUGUAGAUGGGUUUGAGUAUUUCAAUCUGACAGAGCUUCGAUUUGAAUCUUUCUAUGGAGUCUCUGCUUCCGACGGUAAUAAUCCUCUCACCGUCGGUCUUACCCUCAUUCAAGGUGCUGCUGCCAAAGGCGCUGUAUGUUUGGACGGAACAUUACCUGGUUAUCAUUUCCACCGCGGAUAUGAUUCAGGAGCAAACAGUUGGCUCAUUCAAUUGGAGGGUGGAGGAUGGUGUAAUGCCAUACGAUCUUGUGUUUACCGCAAAACGACUCGGCGUGGAUCAUCAACUUACAUGGAAAAGCAGAUACCAUUUACAGGAAUACUUAGCAAUAAGGCCGAAGAAAAUCCAGAUUUUUUCAAUUGGAAUAGAGUAAAGGUUCGUUAUUGUGAUGGUGCCUCCUUUGCUGGGGAUAGUGAAGAUAAGGCUGCACAACUGGAAUUUAGAGGGCAACGCAUAUGGUCAGCUGCUAUGGAAGAUUUAAUGUCAAGGGGGAUGAGCAAUGCUGACCAGGCUCUUCUUUCAGGGUGUUCUGCUGGGGGCUUGGCUUCUAUAUUACAUUGUGAUGAGUUCCGAAAUUUAUUUCCUGCAAGUACUAAAGUGAAGUGCUUGAGUGAUGCUGGAUUAUUCCUUGACGCGGUUGAUGUAUCUGGUGGGCACACCCUUAGGAAUUUUUUUAGUGGUGUGGUUAGCUUGCAGGGGGUGCAAAAGAAUCUUCCAAGCACUUGUACUGAGAAUCUUGAUCCCACUUCGUGCUUCUUCCCCGAGAACUUAAUUGCCAAUGUCAAAACCCCUCUAUUUAUUCUCAAUGCAGCCUAUGAUUCAUGGCAGGUCCAGGCCAGUUUAGCUCCUGCAUCAGCUGAUCCUAAUGGCAGUUGGCGUGACUGCAAAAUGAAUCAUGCAAGUUGUUCAGAAUCACAGAUCCAGUUUCUGCAAGACUUCAGAAAUCAUAUGCUGAAUGCAAUAGAGGGAUUCUCAACGUCCGAAGAAAAUGGGUUAUUCAUAAAUUCAUGUUUUGCUCACUGCCAAACAGAGAGGCAGGAUACAUGGUUUGCUGAUGAUUCACCUCUUGUUGGCAAUAAGGAGGCCCAGCUUGAAGAAAACUCGAGGAGAUGCUUCCAAAUGUCCACUGAGCUAGGCUCUAGUUUUUUGGAGAUCUAGUAAAACUAGAACUCAACUUGAAAUUAUUGGUCCUUGAGAUUUGUGAUUUAGUUAUUGUUAGUGUGUGUUUGUUUGUUUGUUCUCCCCUUUUUAAUCUUUUAAGAGACAGCAAAGAAUACAAAUAAUCAAGAAUUGAAGAUUUAAUCCCACAUAAACAUACCUCAUUGGACUUAAAAACAAUUCAAAGAUGGAAUGGGAUCGCGCUAUCUGUUGGAGAUUGGUAUUUUGAUCGAUCAAGCGUUAAGGCCAUCGACUGUGCGUACCCCUGUGACAACACUUGUCACAAUCUGAUUUUCAAAUAAGGCAGCAACAUAUAUGUAUUUAUUAUUAUUAUUAUUAUUUUUAAUUUCAUUGGCACAUUUAUGUUGUCAUCUUAGUGAGUUAUCUCAUCUCCCAUUCAGAAAGCUAGCAAUUUUUAAUCUUCAUUAAAGACAAUAAAAUUGCAAUUCGGCGAGUAAGUGCACAUGAUUUAUAUACUUAAUUUUCUUUCUUCUA